rnacentral:lncRNA from 1 species
UUUAAUUUUAGCUAUACUUUCUCUCUUUGAAUAUACUCUAAAAGUUCUGAGUUGGAAGAACCAUGUUCAGGUGUGGGUACUCCCCUUCCCCUGUCCAGAUGUUUGAUUUCAGGGAAGCCAAGUGCUUAAGCAUCAGCUAAUUAGUCUUCCCUUUCUUUUACUCACCUUUUCUUCUUCAUUCCUUUUUUUUUUCAUCUCUCCCUCUUUCUUCUCAUUCCCUAUCUGCUUAGAAGAUAAAAAUCUAAUUAAAUAUUGUAUACACAACCUGGGAUGGGGGAGUGAGGACCUCCCUAAAUCUACUCCUUCACAAAAGUAACAAAAACACUACAAAAAUUUGUCAAAAUCAAGUUCUUCAGAGGCCAAAGGCUUGCAAUGUUUUGAAAAGUUUUCAUAUUCAAGAAGAAAAAAGUUGAACCUUGGCAAUAACAAUGGGCUGUUUGCCUUUUCACUUGUCGUAUUCCCAUCUCUUCUCCAAUUCUAUAACAACUUUGAAAAUCAGCAGCCUUAGCCAUUGAAGGGGAAAGAACAAUUUUGGACACCAAAUGUAGUUCCCUUAAUGUACAGAGCACCUUUGUGUGCAUUUGUCCUCUAUGGCAUCACAAAGAACCAGAGUUUUGCAGUAGUUGUGGUAACAAAUCUAACACUCUAGCAGGAGACAGGCUGAGUAGAAAGCCUCUCUACUACAAAUUUGAAAAACAUUCUUAAACAAUUUAAAGAUGUCCACAAACACAUUUUGGGGACAAAAAUCAUAAAAGGCUUUCUCAAAGAGUGAAAAUCUUAGGCAAGGUGAUGAUCAUGCAGUUGUUAACUGUUUCUCUGAAGUGAUAAUUGAUCACAGCUGGCACCUGGGAACGGCAGCCUCCUAGUAUAUAGAGAACACCUGAAACUGAUCAGCAGCUUCCCCAUAAUGCCUUGGGAGUGAGAAGUACGGCACCGUCCCAGAAGUAGGCCAGUGUAUAAAAAGCCAUGUUAAGAGGUCAAAGCAGAGCACUUGGUCCUAUUUCAGUCGAAUUAUUUCUUCUGACUGGGCAAGCAUUGAAAUUGCCGAAGACCUGUCUGGAUACACCAUCAGUUAAUCAAGGAACAAACAUGGGUGUAUAACUCCUCUGCAAAGUGGGACUGCAUUCAUGUUACCUGACUUCUUGGAAGCAUCAUCUCCUCCU